UUGGUAUUGGGCAUAACGCUCAAUUAAAGGGAAGUUGGUACGAUCUUGAUCAAACCCAACGCUGCCCCCGCAACGGUAUAUAAGUACUGUGCAUCAACAGCCACUGUGUAAAACAUGGGAAGGCGAUGCAUCGGUUAAUUUGCUAAUUAACCACUUAUGAGCCCGGAGACCUGCCACAAG
rnacentral:ncRNA from 1 species